rnacentral:lncRNA from 1 species
CAAACCGGAGCUUCUCACAACAAGCAUGAUGGUUUUCGGUAGGGAACGUCCCACAUUUGGGGACGAAACGAUAUCCAUUGCCUCUUAUUGCUUUCAAUUUUUUUUCUCGUGUCAACAUACAACAACAGGAGUGUUGUGUGAUUUUUUUCGGGGUUCGUUUGGACAUUUUUAUGCCUUAACUGAGUUUUCAAUGCAUUUAUUGUGCAUAAUUAAAUUUGAACUACAUGCGCAUGCUCAAGUGCAUAUAAAUUGGUUGAAAAAUCAAAUCUAUGUCGUUGGGUGCAUGCUUAGGUCCCAUACAAGAAAUGGGAAUGAAUUUCAAACACCGGGGCAUCGUUGAUUGCCGGCAAAACAUUGAGAUGCCUGGUUUUUAAAUUCUAGUAAAUCCAAAACUCGUCUGAAAUUCAUGAAAAUUGGCAUGCUAUCAUGGAGCGGCAUCAACAUGCUGUGGUACAAAUUUUGUCCCAUUUGGGGCAGGUUUGGUUAUAUGCUUCUCACAAACCGGAGCUACUCACAACAAGCAUGAUGGUUUUCGGUAGGGAACGUCCCACCUUUGGGGACGAAACAAUAUCCAUUGCCUCUUAUUGCUUUCAUUUUAUUCUCGUGUCAACAUAGAACAACAGGAGUGUUGUGUGAAUUUUUGUGAUUUUUCGGGGUUCAUUUGGACAUUUUUAUGCAUUAACUCGGUUUUCAGUGCAUUUUAUGUGCAUAAUUCAAAUUUGAACUACAUGCACAUGCUCUAGUGCAUAUAAAUUGGUUGAAAAAUCAAAUUUGUGUCAUCGGGUGCAUGCUUAGGUCCCAUGCAAGAAAUGAGCAUGAAUUUCAAACACCGGGGCACCGUUGAUUGCCGGCAAAACAUUGAGAUGCCAGGUUUUUAAAUUCUAGUAAAUCCAAAACUCGUCUGAAAUUCAUGAAACUUGGCAUGCUAUCAUGGAGCGGCAUCAACAUGCCGUGGUACAAAUUUUCUCCCAUUUGGGGCAGGUUUGGGUAUAUGCUUCUCACAAACCGGAGCUUCUCACAACAAGCAUGAUGGUUUUCGGUAGGGAACGUCCCACCUUUGGGGACGAAACGAUAUCCAUUGCCUCUUAUUGCUUUCAAUUUUUUUUCUCGUGUCAACAUAGAACAACAGGAGUGUUGUGUGAAUUUUUGUGAUUUUUCGGGGUUCAUUUGGACAUUUUUAUGCAUUAACUCGGUUUUCAGUGCAUUUUAUGUGCAUAAUUCAAAUUUGAACUACAUGCACAUGCUCUAGUGCAUAUAAAUUGGUUGAAAAAUCAAAUUUGUGUCAUCGGGUGCAUGCUUAGGUCCCAUGCAAGAAAUGGGCAUGAAUUUCAAACACCGGGGCACCGUUGAUUGCCGGCAAAACAUUGAGAUGCCAGGUUUUCAAAUUCUAGUAAAUCCAAAACUCGUCUGAAAUUCAUGAAACUUGGCAUGCUAUCAUGGAGCGGCAUCAACAUGUCGUGGUACAAAUUUUGUCCCAUUUGGGGCUGGUUUGGGUAUAUGCUUCUCACAAACCGGAGCUUCUCACAACAAGCAUGAUGGUUUUCGGUAGGGAACGUCCCACCUUUGGGGACGAAACGAUAUCCAUUGCCUCUUAUUGCUUUCAAAUUUUUUUCUCGUGUCAACAUAGAACAACAGGAGUGUUGUGUGAUUUUUUUCGGGGUUCGUUUGGACAUUUUUAUGCAUUAACUGAGUUUUCAAUGCAUUUAUUGUGCAUAAUUAAAUUUGAACUACAUGCACAUGCUCAAGUGCAUAUAAAUUGGUUGAAAAAUCAAAUCUGUGUCGUUGGGUGCAUGCUUAGGUCCCGUGCAAGAAAUGGGAAUGAAUUUCAAACACCGGGGCAUCGUUGAUUGCCGGCAAAACAUUGAGAUGCCUGGUUUUUAAAUUCUAGUAAAUCCAAAACUCGUCUGAAAUUCAGGAAAAUUGGCAUGCUAUCAUGGAGCGGCAUCAACAUGCUGUGGUACAAAUUUUGUCCCAUUUGGGGCAAGUUUGGUUAUAUGCUUCUCACAAACCGGAGCUACUCACAACAAGCAUGAUGGUUUUCGGUAGGGAACGUCCCACCUUUGGGGACGAAACAAUAUCCAUUGCCUCUUAUUGCUUUCAAUGUUUUUUUUCGUGUCAACAUAGAACAACAGGAGUGUUGUGUGAUUUUUUUCGGGGUUCGUUUGGACAUUUUUAUGCAUUAACUGAGUUUUCAAUGCAUUUAUUGUGCAUAAUUAAAUUUGAACUACAUGCACAUGCUCAAUUGCAUAUAAAUUGGUUGAAAAAUCAAAUCUGUGUCGUUGGGUGCAUGCUUAGGUCCCAUGCAAGAAAUGGGAAUGAAUUUCAAACACCGGGGCAUCGUUGAUUGCCGGCAAAACAUUGAGAUGCCUGGUUUUUAAAUUCUAGUAAAUCCAAAACUCGUCUGAAAUUCAUGAAAUUGGCAUGCUAUCAUGGAGCGGCAUCAACAUGCUGUGGUACAAAUUUUGUCCCAUUUGGGGCAGGUUUGGGUAUAUGCUUCUCACAAACCGGAGCUACUCACAACAAGCAUGAUGGUUUUCGGUAGGGAACAUCCCACCUUUGGGGACGAAACAAUAUCCAUUGCCUCUUAUUGCUUUCAAUUUUUUUCUCGUGUCAACAUAGAACAACAGGAGUGUUGUGUGAAUUUUUGUGAUUUUUCGGGGUUCAUUUGGACAUUUUUAUGCAUUAACUCGGUUUUCAGUGCAUUUUAUGUGCAUAAUUCAAAUUUGAACUACAUGCACAUGCUCUAGUCCAUAUACAUUGGUUGAAAAAUCAAAUUUGUGUCACCGGGUGCUUGCUUAGGUCCCAUGCAAGAAAUGGGCAUGAAUUUCAAACACCGGGGCACCGUUGAUUGCCGGCAAAACAUUGAGAUGCCAGGUUUUUAAAUUCUAGUAAAUCCAAAACUCGUCUGAAAUUCAUGAAACUUGGCAUGCUAUCAUGGAUCGGCAUCAACAUGCCGUGGUACAAAUUUUGUCCCAUGUGGGGCAGGUUUGGGUAUAUGCUUCUCACAAACCGGAGCUUCUCACAACAAGCAUGAUGGUUUUCGGUAGGGAACGUCCCACAUUUGGGAACGAAACGAUAUCCAUUGCCUCUUAUUGCUUUCAAUUUUUUUUCUCGUGUCAACAUACAACAACAUGAGUGUUGUGUGAUUUUUUUUCGGGGUUCCUUUGGCCAUUUUUAUGCCUUAACUGAGUUUUCAAUGCAUUUAUUGUGCAUAAUUAAAUUUGAACUACAUGCGCAUGCUCAAGUGCAUAUAAAUUGGUUGAAAAAUCAAAUCUAUGUCGUUGGGUGCAUGCUUAGGUCCCAUACAAGAAAUGGGAAUGAAUUUCAAACACCGGGGCAUCGUUGAUUGCCGGCAAAACAUUGAGAUGCCUG